rnacentral:rRNA from 1 species
AUUGAACGCUGGCGGCAUGCCUUACACAUGCAAGUCGAACGGUAACAGGUCUUCGGAUGCUGACGAGUGGCGAACGGGUGAGUAAUACAUCGGAACGUGCCUAGUAGUGGGGGAUAACUAAUCGAAAGAGUGGCUAAUACCGAAUGAGAUCUACGGAUGAAAGAAGGGGAUCGGAGACCCUUGUGCUAUUAGAGCGGCCGAUGGCAGAUUAGGUAGUUGGUGGGAUAAAGGCUUACCAAGCCGACGAUCUGUAGCUGGUCUGAGAGGACGAUCAGCCACACUGGGACUGAGACACGGCCCAGACUCCUACGGGAGGCAGCAGUGGGGAAUUUUGGACAAUGGGCGCAAGCCUGAUCCAGCAAUGCCGCGUGCAGGAUGAAGGCCUUCGGGUUGUAAACUGCUUUUGUACGGAACGAAAAGCCCUGGGUUAAUACCCUGGGGUCAUGACGGUACCGUAAGAAUAAGCACCGGCUAACUACGUGCCAGCCGCCGCCGUAA